CUCUGUUCAUAAAUAUCUUUUGUACGAGGUCCCUAAUCGUGAAUCAGAUUUCCUAAAUGGAUCAACUUGCUAGAUCAACAGCUACAAGGAAAAAUUACAGCUAAGUGAAGCCAGGAAGGGGAGCGCUUUUCAAAUCCCAUCUCUUUCCUCUUCCCUCUGUUAAGAUCCGAACAAGUGCUCCGAAACAGGAAUUUUUUCUACUAAUCGGAAUCGAGGCUGGGUUUUGAUGGAUCAAGGAUGCAUUUGGAGCAUUUCGUAAUGCUUAGAUCUUCCCACAAGUGAUUUUCAUUGGAUUAACGAUUUGGAGGCCUCGUUUGUGACACAGCUGCGGGGGGGUUUUGAUUUCUCUUGUGAGAAGCAGAAAGAUUGAAGCUUGAUGGUCGGUUGCGGCUGCGGUUAUGGCGGCGGCGGAUCGCGGCAGGGCGGGCCACGUGGAGAGGGACAUCGAGCAGGCUAUUACUGCUCUGAAGAAAGGAGCAUACUUGCUAAAGUAUGGACGCAGAGGAAAACCCAAGUUUUGCCCAUUUAGAUUAUCCAAUGAUGAGUCUGUACUAAUAUGGUUCUCGGGCAAAGAGGAGAAACAUGUCAAACUAAGCCAUGUAGCCAGAAUCAUGCCUGGACAACGCACUGCAAUUUUUCAGAGAUACCGGCAACCUGAGAAGGAGCGCCAGUCAUUUUCUCUCAUAUAUAAUGAGAGAUCACUAGAUCUUAUAUGUAAGGAUAAAGAUGAAGCUGAAGUCUGGUUUGCUGGUCUAAAAACAUUGAUAUCACGCAGCCAUUAUCGGAGAUGGAGAACAGAAUCCAGAAGUGAUGGAGUGUCAUCUGGUACAAAUAGUCCAAGAACAUACACCCGUAGAAGUUCUCCUUUAAAUUCUCCCUUUGGUAGCAGUGAUAGCAUGCAGAAGGAUGGCAGUGAUACUCUUCGACUUCGAAGUCCAUAUGAAAGCCCCACAAAAAAUGGGUUGGACAAGUCAUUUUCUGAGGUUGUUUCAUAUGAAGUACCUCCAAAGUCUUUCUUUCCUUCAGAUUCUGUUACUGAGUCACUCCACUCAUUAUCUUCUGGAUGCUCAGACAGUAUAAAUGGGCAUACAAGGGUCAUUGCGACAGAUGUAUUUAGGGUCAGUCUGUCAAGUGCUGUAAGCUCAUCCAGUCAAGGUUCAGGUCAUGAUGAUGGAGACGCAUUAGGGGAUGUAUUCAUAUGGGGUGAAGGGACCGGAAAUGGGUUUCUAGGUGGUGGAAAUCUGGGACUUGGUAGCUAUUCAGUUAUUAAAAUGGACUCUCUUGUGCCAAAAGCCUUAGAAUCUGCUGUAAUACUAGAUGUGCAAAAUGUAUCUUGUGGUGGGAGACAUGCUGCUCUUGUCACCAAGCAAGGAGAGAUUUAUACUUGGGGCGAGGAGUCAGGAGGUAGGCUUGGGCAUGGAGUAAAGACCGAUGUCUCUCAACCAAGAUUAGUUGAUGCUCUUGUAAAUAUGAAUAUUGAACUUGUAGCCUGUGGAGAGCAUCAUACAUGUGCUGUUACAUUGUCUGGUGACCUUUACACCUGGGGUGAUGGUACUUCUACACUAGGGCUCCUUGGGAAUGGAAAUGAAAUGAGCCACUGGCUUCCAAAAAUGGUUAGUGGACCCUUGGAGGGUAUACAUGUUUCAUCAGUUUCUUGUGGACCUUGGCAUACAUCUGUUGUAACCUCUUCAGGGCAACUGUUCACCUUUGGAGAUGGAACGUUUGGUGUCCUAGGUCAUGGAGAUCGCAGAAGUAUUUCAGUACCUCGGGAAGUAGGAUCCCUUAGGGGAUUGCGCACAGUUCGAGCUGCUUGUGGUGUUUGGCAUACUGCUGCGGUUGUAGAAGUUAUUUCUGGAAAUUCAAGUUCUAGCAACUGUUCUUCUGGGAAGCUAUUUACAUGGGGCGAUGGUGACAAAGGACGACUUGGACAUGGUGACAAAGAAAAUAGACUAGUGCCUACAUGUGUAGCUGCGUUGGUUGAACCAAACUUUUGUCAAGUUGCUUGUGGGCAUAGCCUAACAGUGUCACUUACUACCUCAGGCCAUGUUUACACAAUGGGCAGUGCAGUUUAUGGUCAACUUGGAAACCCUCAAUCAGAUGGAAAGCUCCCUGUGCGUGUUGAAGGGAAGCUCCUUAAGAACUUUGUCGAGGAGAUUUCAUGUGGUGCUUAUCAUGUUGCUGUCUUAACUUCAAGAACUGAAGUUUACACAUGGGGUAAAGGAGCAAAUGGUCGAUUAGGACAUCGUGAUACUGAUGACCGAAAUUCCCCUACGUUAGUUGAAGCUUUAAAGGAUAAACAAGUUAGAAAUGUAGUUUGUGGCACUAAUUUUACUGCAGCAAUUUGUAUCCAUAAAUGGGUGUCUGGAGUUGAUCAGUCUAUGUGCUCUGGCUGCUGUCUGCCUUUUAAUUUUAAGAGAAAGCGUCAUAACUGCUAUAAUUGUGCACUUGUUUUUUGCCAUUCGUGCAGCAAUAAGAAAUCUCUUAGGGCUUCUAUGGCACCAAAUCCUCAUAAACCAUAUCGUGUAUGUGACAACUGCUUUAUCAAGUUAAGCAAGCCCUUGGAAACUGACUCAUCAUCUCAUUCUGCUGCUAGUAAACGAGGAAAUAUGAUUCAGGGGUUCAGUGACAUGAUCGAGGAGGAUAAAUUGGAUCCAAGAUCAAAUGUGCAAAUCCAUAGAUUUUCUUCAAUGGAGUCCUUUAAGCAAAUGGAAAGUGGAUUUUCUAAAAGGAACAAGAAAUUUGAAUUUAUUAGCAGUCGCAUUUCUCCAAUCCCAAAUGGAACUGCAUGGUGGGGUGUCCUUAACAUUUCAAAAUCUUUUAAUCCAGCAUCUGGAACAUCGAAAUAGUUCUUUUCAGCUUCUGUUCCUGGCUCAAGAAUUGUUUCCAGAGCAACAUCACCUGUUUCUAGAAGGGCCAGCCCCCCUCGUUCUACCACACCAAACCCAACUCUUCAGGGACUUACUUCUCUGAGAACCAUUCUUGAUGGUUCAAAGAGUGCAACUGACAGCAUAAGCCAAGAGGUUCUGAAGUUAAGGGCUCAGGUGGCAAAUCUUACUUAUAAAGCUCAGCUUCAAGAGGUUGUGUUAGAGAGAACAACUAAACAAUUGAAGGAAGCUAUUUCAGUUGCUGGAGAAGAAGCUGCAAAAUGCAAAGCGGCCAAAGAAGUAAUCAAGUCACUCACUGCUCAAUUAAAGGACAUGGCUGAAAGAUUGCCAGUGGGAGCAGCUGAAAACAGUGAACUUUCUUCCUCGGCAUCCUUCAACACUAGUCUCGACUCAAGUAGUUUUUCAGAUGCAACUGCUGAGAAAUUAAGCAGCCUGUUGACCUCUCGUGAAAAAGAUGCAAAUGGUUCCAGUGAAGUGCUAGGUUCCAAUGGACAAAGUACCAUUGGUAGUCGCAAUAAUCUAGGUACCCCAGUAUCAAGGAAUGGAAGUAAAGUGAUCGAUGCUGAUCCCAAUCAUGAAACAGAAUGGGUUGAGCAAGAUGAGCCAGGUGUCUACAUCACCCUUACUUCUUUGCCUGAAGGUGCGAGAGACCUAAAACGGGUUCGGUUUAGUCGCAAGCGGUUCAGUGAGAAGCAAGCAGAACAAUGGUGGGCUGAGAACCGGGCUAGGGUAUAUGAGCAAUACAGUGUGCGAACGGUUAACAGGUCCGCCCCAAGUGUCGGAAAUAGUAAAAGAUCUGAUUAAGAUUGACUAAAAUAAUAUUUGCUUCUGAAUUUGAGCCAAGUCAAAGCGAUGACAAAGUUCUAACUUAAUCUAUUAAUUUGUAAAUGUCAGUAAAUUUUAUUUUUAGCCCCAGAAAAUAUUGGAGGGUCUGGAUACAAAGCGAAGUCGUUUGUUGUCCAUUUUUUACUUUUAGUUUUUUCUGCUUCAGUUUUCCUGUGUGGAAAGAUAGAGUGGGUUUGAGCUUGAGGAAUGUAAAUCAUUAUUAGUGAGCUUGCUAAUAUUCUGCAUUGUAAAUGCAAAAGAAAAUGCAUUUU